AACAGGAUUUUUCUUCCCUUGUAGGGAUGAAGCUUGGGAUGAGGAAAGAGUCUAAUAAGGACCGUAGCAAUGAUCACAAAAGCGCCCGGCUAGAAGCCUGCCAGCUGCUUGCUGUACCCCUCUUUACUCAACACCCCCCAAAGUGGCCCAAGCAGAAGAAAAGAUGCCGUUUUGGGGGACAGCUGAUAACUGUGUCUGCUGCUGCUUACAUCAAUGCCGUAGGUAACAAAUCUUGUCAGAGGUGCCGGACCCUGCAAGUCAUUUACAGCAGAUUUCCUUGAGGCAGCAGUGAAAUCCGUCAUCUUUUUGUUUGACAUCUGCAACCCCAGUGGAAAGAAAACAGUGUGACUCUUGCCUUGCAUUUGCAGCUGAAACCUUACCAAGGAGAGAAAAGAAGAAGAACCUCUAUUGUUUUUUUAUCUUCUGCAGGUACAAACAGUGUUUUUCUGGCGUAAACUGAGAGGCAUAGGGCUCUGUGGGAGUGAUUUGCUUCUAGGAAUUUAUUUCACAUGGCUGUCAGUGGCUCUGCAAUAUAGGAUGGGAAAAAAGAAACAGGCCCAAACCUCCAAAUAACUCUGAAAGAGCCCGACGAAUGAGUCCUCACAUCUCAUGCUUCCCCAAAAGAAUGGAAACCUUUCCAAGGGAGCUGAUACAUCUACUGCCAGUGUUCAGCAUUUUGUGUUUUGUUUUUUAAAGAAAAGCCAAGUUACACCAGGAAGUAUCACGUGCCCAAUUUCAAGUCAAAACAAAUAAAUAGUCUUGGGUUUUGCCUUUAAUUUCCUGUCCACUGCCAGUUUUUCUGGGACCAACAUGGGUCAUCUGUGAAAUGCUGUGAGAAUUUCGGGGCCGGGAAGGCAGGUCCCUGGCCCUGUCACCUCCACGGUGGCUGAUGAAACACAGAAGAGCUCCAGCAGCCGACGAACCUGCGUCCCCACAGGUUGGCUCUCUGUUUCUGCCCUCGCUGGCUGCUCUCAGCGCAGGGUUUGCCACUCCGUCUCACCUUUCAAGGAGGGACUGUGUCCGGUUUCCUUUUAGAAAAGGUAAUUUUUCGAAUUGUCCUUGUUUGAAAGAAAAUACUGGGUUUGGCAACAGUGAAAACAGAGGGCUAAGCGCUCUCUGGCGUGUGCUGCGCUGAUGUGAUGAGACCGGGCCAUGAGUCCAGCAAGUUUUGCUCAUUUUUGUACCACGUAGUGGUAAGCCGGCAUGUACGGUAUUUUUCCUUUACCCUAGAGCUUCCUCCUAGGACCCUGCCAGUAAUUUGAUCCUGCUUUGAUAAACCGUCAUGCAGACACGACAUGGAACUGUAGUCCUAAUGACCUGUGUUAAUUAAAAAUCAAAUGACACUUUCUCAGGAGAAAGUUCUUUAGUUCCAGUGUUUUCCUAAGAUAAUUAUACCAAGCCAGCCUACUACCCUCCCCUGUAGUUUCAUUUAUUGCUCACUUUGCCUAAAUUCCUGCAUGCCGUUGCACUGCAUUAUUUUGUCGUGUUCCACCCCAUCAUUUCAAAAUAGGUUGCCUAUUUGUUUAAAAGUACUUUGAAGUCUUGAAGAGAGAGAUGCCAUAUAUUUACCGUGAUGAUGUACAGCCUGCCCGUUUGAUUUCACUGCCUUGUAGCACCAAAUUGAGAACCCUCUGACUCUUCGUCUCCCCUGGCUUCUAUAAUAGCAAGAGAUAAACAGGAAAAAGGGGAGACACCUUCAGUUUGAUAUUGUUUGACUCUCAAGACAGUUCAGGCUCUGAUAUUAAUAACUUCCUGUUUUGUUGUAAGUCUUCUGACAAACGAAGAGCCUCCAUGUGCGUUGACAUUUCAGCCUGAACUUAGGCAACUACAUGAGUAGUGUGUUCCCAGGCUUUGGGCUACAAAUUCCAGUUUUCUGCUUACCUUCAGGCCAAAAUUUUAGAACUGGAAGUCAAACCGCUGAAAAUCGGGUGCCUAAACCCACCGUUAGUUGCCAAAAUAAAAAUGACUUGACCGUCGCAACAGUUGAACACCUGCAGACCCUAUAAGUAUCUUGGGACUUGAGAGGGCACAAUCUAUACAAAUCAGACUAAUUUUGUGUAGGAGCUCAAAUAAGGAUCCUAAUUUGAAACUCUGGGCUGCUGUUCAUUGCUAAGGAUGUGCUCAGAAGCUAGAAACAGAAAAGAGGAUCUGCAAAAGUGUGGAGGAAGGUGCAUUUCUGUAAUAUCACUUGUGCAAGAUGCUUGUGAAACGUGGCGCGUGUUGCAUUGCAUCAUUUUUCACAUGCGCUUAAAUUAGUAAGACUCUUUCUUUUCCAGCUAUCCAAAUGACUUUCCCUGCGAACUGAACUACUUCCUCUGGAUAAUACGCUGGUUUACUACCUGUUGGAGAGGUGGAGUAUCCCUGGAAUGCCUCAUGCCUGUGUACUGCCCAUGGCUGCUGCUCUGCGUAACCGGGAACCAUCUCCCAACCAUGGUGUGCAGCAGGACAACUUGGACUUAGCAGUUCUAUGAGAUGUAAAAAUCAAACCAGCUAAUCAAGAUUUAGAACAGCACUGGAUUGAAAAGACUAGCAAGUGGUCCAGCUGUGAGUUAAUUCAUUAGUUGCAGUAAAUAUCACUGGAAGAGCUUGUCAAAAGGAAAUGUGAAGCAGCUGAAAAGAAGUCCUUAAAGUGAAUGUCAAAGGCUUUUGCAGCUGUCAUCCAGUGGACUGGGAGACUCCGGGCUUUGGAGAGAAAACAAGGGUGAAAGAAAUAAAAAUUUGAGUACAGAGUAUAAAGUACCAGUUCCCACUGAGUGAUUAUAAAGGAAGCAAUCUCACCACUACAGGGACCUAAUUAGAGACUGAAUCUCACAACUGUCUAAUGUCUCCUCCAGGACACUGAGAAACCCAAACCAGCUAAAGCAGUCCAUUCAGACCAGCAGCAGUAAGAGGCUCUGCUGCUUCAGGGGCACACUGAAAUGCCAGAUUUAUAUAGCUGGGGUCAUUUCCAGUGUUCUUGAAUCCUGUAGUCUGUUCAGCGCUCACUUAGGACCAGGAGAGCAACUUCAUUUUCUCGCCUGGCCAGCACAGCAUCAUCCUGGUCCUACAGAAGGCAACAACGGGCUCCCACUGCUGUGGUAGCCAAGACUCCCGGAGGAAAGGCACCAGGACCCAUUUUCCCAGGCAAAUUGUCCACGUUAAUAAGAGACUAUUUCACAUUUCUGCGACCGAUCUGAUGAAUCGCUGCUUUUGUUGGUCUCCAAAACGUGCAGGUCAGGUGUGAGUCCUCAAGCCUUCCUGGAGAUGCCAGUGCUGUCAGUCCGCGGUUGCGUGCAUUGGUUUGCUUAAGCCUUGCUGCAGGGCUCAGCUCUCCCACCUUGCUCCGGCUAUUGCCUGUCCGAGACACUGUCUCCCUGCUUUUGUCCUUUUGGAAAUGUGGAAACACUGGCCAUAGUUUGAGGCUAACCUUUGGCAGCAGCGCCCAUCCCUGCCCUAGCUGCUCCCUCCUACCUCUGAGCCGCAGUGCGUCACCUCUUCAUCAGCGUGCUGAGCGGGGAACUCCCCGAGUUGGGUUUUUUUCUUUGUUUGGUGGUUUUUUCCAAGCAGCAACAAGUUUUCGCUGGAUUUUAUUUAAGACUGGACCGUUCCAGGCCCUGGUCCUCAGCACUCCCCUCCUGGAGCCGGGAAGGGCUGUGCAGGCAGGAGCCAUGCCCUGGGGUGAGCGAGCAGCAGGGUCAGCAGGAAGGACUUAUUUGAGCUGGUAUUGCCAUUAAAAGCACUUUUUUACAUAACCCUGUCCCCGCAGAGUGAUGCUGUGCAGGCUGGGAGCCAGGAGGGCUGGCGCUUGGGACAUCUCCUCCUGGUGCGCUGCCGAGGGUGCUGGUCCCCAGCCCCAGGGCACGCAGCAUCCGUCCCCGCCGCUCGCCCGACCCAACCCUCGAGACCUACUUUUGCUGGGAGAGGCAAGGUAACCUCACCACUGAAAAUAGCUGGGACAGCAGCCAGUGGAGAUUAAUGGCAUCAUUAACGUCCCCAGUUUAUUUAUAGGCUUAAAAAUGCCUCGGACCUGCAAACCGAGCAGAGUUGCUCUGUAACGCAGGGACUCCCAGGUCUCCUGCAUCUGUCUUUCCCCUUCAUGCUAUUUCAUCCUGAUCGCUGGGACCGUAAAACCUCUGCAGCAGGGACUGUCUCUCAUUGUAAACCUACUUUGUAAACCUUCCUAAAUAGAGGGAUACACACAGAUAUUUUUUUUUUUCCAUGAAUGCUGUAUUUGUCUGGUCUCCUUCCUCCACCCAACUCUUUCUGUGCUCACUGUGUCCUGUGGCCCCUCUUUGGGAAAAUCCUCUUUUUGAUGAAUUCCUGAGGCAUGGGCUGAGCAGUCGUCACAGGCAUUAGUGAUUUUCCACCUUGGGUUUUAAACUGUGAGCUCUGUGGGAGGAGGACUGGGAAUCUCAUAGCUGUGGACAGCAACUAGGACAUGGGGGGCCCUAGUGAGACAUGCAGAUGUAAUUAAUGACCGUGGAGGUCUUCCUAUGGGAGCCAGCAGAGCCAGCCCAGCUCCCAGAUCCUCCAGGAACCUCGACGGAGUGGCAAGAAAAGAAAAAAAAAACAUCCUGAGUGUGUUGGCCCCAGAAGAGGAUUUUUCGGCACGUGACCUGCGGCCGCACCGCCUGGCCUGUUUCCCAGCGCUCGGUGAAAGGUAAGUGAGAAAGGCAGCUUGUUGUCGGCAGGCACAAAUCCAAGGGAUCGGCUGUGUGACUGGGACAUGGCUCCAUGGGUGGGAGAAAAAAGUACAAAUGCCCAUAGGGACCCCUCCCACCCAGAAACACGGAUAACUAGCGUGGCACCUCAUGGAGGUGAGGUUGCUUCAGGGGGCAGCCACCCCUCACUUUGCUGUUGUUUUUUUGUUGUAUCAUUCUGAGAUAAACUCCUGCGUCAGUCUCUCCUUGGCCCUCUGGCUUCUAGGGGCUGAAAUAAAGAACCAGCAGAGAACCACUGAAA